GAUGAACGCUAGCGGCAGGCUUAAUACAUGCAAGUCGAGGGGCAGCAGGACUGUAGCAAUACAGUUGCUGGCGACCGGCAAACGGGUGCGGAACACGUACGCAACCUUCCUUCAAAUGGGGGAUAGCCCACCGAAAGGUGGAUUAAUACCCCGUAACAUUUUCUGGUGGCAUCACCGGAUCAUUAUAGCUACGGCGUUUGAAGAUGGGCGUGCGGCUGAUUAGGUAGUUGGCGGAGUAACAGCCCACCAAGCCUACGAUCAGUAACUGGUGUGAGAGCACGACCAGUCACACGGGCACUGAGACACGGGCCCGACUCCUACGGGAGGCAGCAGUAAGGAAUAUUGGUCAAUGGACGCAAGUCUGAACCAGCCAUGCCGCGUGGAGGAUGAAGGUCCUCUGGAUUGUAAACUUCUUUUAUCGGAGAAGAAACCCUCAAAUUCUUUUGAGGUUGACGGUACCCGAUGAAUAAGCACCGGCUAACUCCGUGCCAGCAGCCGCGGUAAUACGGAGGGUGCAAGCGUUAUCCGGAUUCACUGGGUUUAAAGGGAGCGUAGGUGGGGUGGUAAGUCAGUGGUGAAAUCUCCGGGCUUAACCCGGAAACUGCCGUUGAUACUAUCAUUCUUGAAUAUUGUGGAGGUAAGCGGAAUAUGUCAUGUAGCGGUGAAAUGCUUAGAUAUGACAUAGAACACCG
rnacentral:rRNA from 1 species